AAAUGAUAAAAAUUAGUGGCAGACGGGUGAGUAAUGCAUAGGAAUCUACCUAGUAGUAUGGGAUAGCCACGAAAUGGUGGGUAAUACUGUAUAAUCCCUGCGGGGGAAAGAUUUAUCGCUAUUAGAUGAGCCUAUGUUAGAUUAGCUAGUUGGUAGGGUAAAGGCCUACCAAGGCAGUGUCUAUAGCUGGUCUGAGAGGAUGAUCAGCCACACUGGAACUGAGAUACGGUCCAGACUCCUACGGGAGGCAGCAGUGGGGAAUAUUGGACAAUGGGCGCAAGCCUGAUCCAGCUAUGCCGCGUGAGUGAGGAAGGCCUUAGGGUUGUAAAACUCUUUCAGUGGGGAAGAUAAUGACGGUACCCACAGAAGAAGUCCCGGCAAACUCCGUGCCAGCAGCCGCGGUAAUACGGAGGGGGCAAGCGUUGUUCGGAAUUAUUGGGCGUAAAGGGCAUGUAGGCGGUUCGGUAAGUUAAAGGUGAAAUGCCAGGGCC
rnacentral:rRNA from 1 species